UUCUCUGCAAGGUAUUAAUAACAUUUAAUUAUCAAUACUCAUGAGGCGGCUAUAGGAUGUGAUAUGAUACUUUGACUAAGUUUUUAAACGUAAUCUCACUAUUUAUGUGCUUUUGUUUGACACAGGACUCUCCAGGAACCAUUCACAACCAGUCACCCACAUGACACAAAUCCUGCAGGGUUCUUCCAGAGUCAAUAAUCAAUUCUUUUUGAAGGUUUGUGUGUGUGUGUGUGUGUGUGUGUGUGUGUGUGUGUGUGUGUGUGGGUGUGUGUGUGUUGUGUGUGUAAUGUGUAAUAGGUCAGCAGCGUUGGUCUUACCAUCUAGGCAAAGUUCAGCAAAGGGGAAAAAAAAUUUGAAAUUUGAAAGUAAGUAAAUUUCUUGUGUUGAAAUAACCUUUGUUGCCAACACACAACAACUAGCAAAAUAGAGCACGGAGCCGUUCCAUAGCGGAGCCAUUCAGCAACCAGUGGAAAUUAGGAGUAAUGCGACCUGAAACAAAGGUGUAGUAUACCGUGUAACCAUUUGUGGGUAUGAUCCUUAUUGGGGCAGUUUAAAAGUCCUGUUUGGGUGUAACUGUCAUUUGUUUGACCUAAUCUUAGUUCUCCCUUAUCCUUGAGUACCGUUAUUUCGUUCCUUCAUGUACACCAUGUAGGAAAGACAAUUAAGAAAAACUUGAUCCUUAAUUAACAAACCUUCAUCCUUGAAGUGUAACUGUUUAUUAUUCAUUUGACAACUUUCUCUCCAUUUAAGGUCAAGUGCGAUGGCUGUGUACAGGCAUGUAAGCUGUGUAAAAAAAGCUUGUGUUAUCUGUGUCUAUUGUACUGGUGAGCACAUUUUCUGAUAUACAAUGAUGUCUACAAACAUGUUCACAGGUGCUGACAACUAAUUUUGUUUAUCGCUCUUAUUUUACUUAGUAUAAAACGUUUCGAUUUCUUAAACAUUAAGAGGGGAUUGAUAACUGCACUACAUAGUUAUACUAAACAAAUAUUAAUUCAUGAUUCUAAAAUGCUACAGAGCACUUACAUUCAUCUUCAUACUUAGAUCAGAAAUGUAGCAGAUAAUGGAGAGAAUUGGGGAAGUAUAUGGGGAGAAGACAUGGAAGAAGACAAGGGGACUUGGACAGUCAAGGACAGUCAGAAAGAGGAAGAAGAACAGGGAAAGGCCAAGGAAAACCUUGAGGACAGUCAGAAAGAGAAGGAAGGAGACCAGGGAAAGGCCCAGGAAAAACAUCAGGAGAAUCAUCACAGUCCCUGGUCGACUAACGGUCACAGGACCCAACAAAUUUUUUUAUGAAAUUACUCCGGAAGAAAUACAAAGGCGGAUAAAAGGUGAAAAAAUGUCCGCCCAUGUCUUCAGGAGCCUUAUUGGGGAACAGGGGCAAACUUGCCUCCAAUUGUGCUGUAGCAGCCACCCAUAAAAAAGCUGUCUGAGUGAGGGAGAGGCCGUGGACUUGGCAGAUGGUUUUGAAGGGAGCCUGGCACCCAACAUGCAUUCAUCUGACAUCUGUCAGGGUGUCACGAAAGACAUGGCAGACAAAACAAAACAAACUCUGUUGAAGGUGGUGGAGAACAACAAAGUUUAUGAUGUGGACUCUGCUUUUAGUUUGGAAAGCCAUUCAUUUGGACCACUUGCACUGGGGCAUGUUCUUUCCCACCUAAUUGGGAAAUUGGACCAAUUACAGUUUUAGUGGUCCACCCCUGCCUAUACAGAGAGAGGGAUGUGCGCCUAGUCAUCUAUUAAAGUUCACAGUGCAGACCAGACAUACAAAACAAAAAUACUGUACCUCCUAUUCUCAUGUUAUUUUUUUAAUAUCUUUUUCUGUUGAUUGUAAAAUAACACCUGAUGACCUGAGUGUACCAAUUAUGUGUGUGCAUGCCCGAUUUUUCACAGGUGGUGACAAAUAGUCCCUCUUAUACGGGUAUUGUGGUGAUGGAUUGGAAUCCACACAUUGCUAUGAUUUCCCUCAGAGAGAAGAAAAUGUUCCCCCAAACGAUGCUUUGCUUGGUCUCCCAGGCCCCGUCAGUCUUAAAUUUCCCAGCUUCCGCAAUCCUGACGAUGUGAAUUUCACGGGCCUUCCUUAAACAAGUGCAUGUCCAGUACACGGGAAUAAACAGCUACUAGACAUCUAGCAAUUUACGUAUCAACAGGGAACUGACGACUCAUUAAUGUUCUCAGACUUGUCUUCUGUGUGCCAUAUGGGUCAUAGCGCUUUGUGACGGUGAUUAAUUAUUAGCAGCCAGUGGUUGGGAUGGGAGUGGGGGGCUCCAGGUCCUUGUGCUUUCUCUCUUCAGAGAACAUAGUGCGCUUGGCACCUUUUUAGAAACAACACUGUACUGUGGCCUGUUGCUGAGCAGGAGGAGCUGUGGUUUUUUUGUUUGCUGUUUUGGUUUCUUCAGUUUCUGGGCUGACCUGUGUAUACUCCAUGCUGUCUCUUCUCUCAUACAGUGAAUGCCCACUGAAAGCAAUGUACGGCUUUGGAUGUUUAUUUUAUAACAGGUUCUAAUCAGGGUGAUGCUGACCUGUUGCAUGGUUUUAUUUGGGGUCUUCUGCUUGUGUAGCCCAUCUGCCUCAAGGUUGCGCUUGUUGUGGCUUCACAAAUGCUUUGCUGCAUACCUCGGUUGGAACAA